rnacentral:tRNA from 1 species
GGGGAUAUAGCUCAGUUGAUUAGAGCGCUACGUUGACAUCGUAGAGGUCCACAGUUCGAGUCUGUGUAUCCCCACCA